AUCCAACUGACGAGUCCCAAAUAGGGCGAAACGCUUCUCCUAUAU
rnacentral:hammerhead_ribozyme from 1 species